CGGCGACGGGUGAGUAACACGUGGGUAACCUACCUAUAAGACUGGGACAACUUCGGGAAACCGGAGCUAAUACCGGAUAAGAUAUCGAACCGCAUGGUUCGAUAGUGAAAGANGGUUUUGCUAUCACUUAUAGAUGGACCCGCGCCGUAUUAGCUAGUUGGUGAGGUAACGGCUCACCAAGGCAACGAUACGUAGCCGACCUGAGAGGGUGAUCGGCCACACUGGAACUGAGACACGGUCCAGACUCCUACGGGAGGCAGCAGCC
rnacentral:rRNA from 1 species